rnacentral:rRNA from 1 species
GAUGAACGCUGGCGGCGUGCUUAACACAUGCAAGUCGAACGGUGAACCCGCUUCGGUGGGGGAUCAGUGGCGAACGGGUGAGUAACACGUGGGCAACCUGCCCCCGGCUCUGGGAUAACUCCAAGAAAUUGGGGCUAAUACCGGAUAUGACCGCUGACCGCAUGGUCUGGUGGUGGAAAGAUUUAUCGGCUGGGGAUGGGCCCGCGGCCUAUCAGCUUGUUGGUGGGGUAGUGGCCUACCAAGGCGACGACGGGUAGCCGGCCUGAGAGGGUGACCGGCCACACUGGGACGGGGACACGGCCCAGACUCCUACGGGAGGCAGCAGUGGGGAAUAUUGCGCAAUGGGCGGAAGCCUGACGCAGCGACGCCGCGUGGGGGAUGACGGCCUUCGGGUUGUAAACCUCUUUCAGCAGGGACGAAGCCGCAAGGUGACGGUACCUGCAGAAGAAGCACCGGCCAACUACGUGCCAGCAGCCGCGGUAACAC